rnacentral:lncRNA from 1 species
AAAUUACAUGAACUUGUUGCUCUGACUGACUUUGUUAAGACACUAAUGUUUAGAGUUAAUAAUAAAACAAGACUUGCAGCUUCUGUAUGAGCUUCUUUCUACAUGGUGUUUUGCCAAGCUGCGUACUACCAAACACUAGGCUUACAUGAUAUAUUAUUAACUGCAUUUUUCUGUCACCUAAUAACAGUACAACAAUUAUUCUUUAGUAAAGAAAGAUGUUUCAGUUGUUUAAUCUCAUUAAAAACUGCAGGGUUUUAAGCAAGCAAUGACUGGCUGUGAAAUUAUUCUUUUUUUCUUUACGAUUGUUUGGAGCCGGUCUCAUGACUUGCAGUUUGUAAUGGUGUGUACUGAGAGAUGCUGUUUUCAGAUGACUUCUGGGUAUGUACUGAGGUUUGGGCCUAUAAAAAGCCCAAUGUUACCAGCAGCGCCUUUAAACUGCAAACAAAGCAGUCUUUUAUGUGCUUCCACAGCAGAAAGAGAAGUUCAUGCUUUUCAGAGGCUUUAAGAGUAGUGCUUCAUUGGAUGAUCAAAACAGUUUUAUAGCCAUCAUCCUUGCGUCUUGUCUUCACUAAGGUUUCUGGCCGUUCAGUUGUCUUCAUUUUUUCUGUGUUCAGUUUUGGGUCUUGCCAUUUAGACUUUUAGCCCUCAACAUGAGUAAGUGUCACAGUGAACUGACUCAGAAGGAGCAGGAGAUGCUGAAAAUUCGGCGGGACAGCGACACAAAGGCGGCCGAACUUGUCAAGAUGGAGAGGAUGCUCCAGCAGACCAAGAACCUGCUGGACAAGAAGACAGAGUCUGGUUCGAAGAGCAUGGGAUACCAGGAGAACAUGGUGGAGGACCUGGAGGAAAAGGUGCGCUCCACCAGACGAUACAGGAGAAACUCCCUCCAUCACACGCAGAUGCUGGAGAGCCAGAUGAAAACUGUGAAAGGUGAGCUGGUGGGCACCCUGGACCACCUUCAGGAGCUGAGGAACGUCCUACGGCGUUCACAGCAGAAGGCAGAAGAACGCAAGGCUGCAAUGGAGAAGCUGGCUGCAGGGCUCAGGUGAAGAACCUUUGACCGCAAUAAACCUGAAAUCCUACAUCCUGUCAGAAAGGCUGUGCAGAAUUCACAUCUAACGAGAUGGCACCCAGUCACCGGUGAAAUGAUAGAGGAAGAAAGUGCUUUCACUGUUUUUUUUCCAUCUCAGCAGUGAGGCUGUAAAUCUUCAUCAUUUGGACUUGAAUCAUGAAUAUGAUUCAGCUGCUCUUCCUUCACUUUUUCAUUAAUCUCAGUAAGUCUCAUAGUAAUAUAGUAAAUUUAAAGCAUCUGAUUCUUUGUACCUUCUGAAAGUAUUUGAAAGAUGAUUAACCAACAGUGUUUAUGCGACUGGGAAAAACACAUUACACAUGUCUUCAUAGAUAUUAAAUUAUACAUGUAGUUCUUCACAUUACUAAGAAGUACCUUUUAAGCCUGAUAUAUGGAACUUAGGCUUGCAUUAGAUCCCUCAUUUCAGAGGCAACGAUGAGUCAUAUUAUCUCCUAGAAAGAUGUCCUGAACUCUUCCACAGUCAUAUGUUCCUCUUUGUAUGAGAAGAAAAACUGUCACUGAUAUACAGUAAACCUUAUAUUUAUCUUACAUUUCUUUAAAUCACAUUUAAUGAAUAUAUCCCUGUUAAUUAAUAAUAUUUAGGUUUUUACUGAAAUCAGAAUUUGAAUUUAUUAGUAAGUCAGUCAAGACAUUACUGAAGGUAGUAUUAUUGUUACUACCAUUAUUCAUAACUUAUUCGAAUGAGAGUUCUUACUCAAACUAUUAUGAAUUGCUGCUACAUAUUAAAAUGAUCAACAGCACAUAGAUUUAUAUCUUUGUCUGAAUAGUAGAGAAAAAAAUGUUUGUUGAUGAUUUAUUGCACACAAGUAUAGAAUUAUGCAAUUUAACUUUAAACAUUUUGCCACCGAUGGUCUGAAGAAUUAUAGGAAUGACCCUUUUGUUAACAGUGACCCUUAUCAACUGCACUGCACUCACUAUGUUCAGUGCAAAGCCGAAGUUUCCAGUGUUUCAACUCCCUCUGGGAUCAAUAGGCUGUUUCUGUCUGUUUCCUGUGGUGAGUCAUCUGAAAGCUGUAUUUGUGCCUUCCCUGUGGCUGGGAUGUUUGCUAAUUUAGUACAGCUUGUUUCACAAAGCAUCACAUGCUGUGAAGCCGAGAGGGGAUUUCAUCUGCUGGUUUUACUUUUCUGUUGUUGAUGCUUUCUGCUUGAUCGUAACUUCCUUCAUACUUUUGUCCCAUGUAAAGUAUGAUUUCGAUAUUAUGAACAUUGCACAAAUACAUAUGAAUGAGUCUUUAGGUAAAAAAGUGCUAAAAGUAGAACACUGAAGGUGAUUUAUGAUGACCUGGAAAGUAAACAAACCCAUAUGAGGCCAUAACAUAUUCACAGAUCAUCACACAAUGUUCCUGACAGAUUAAUUUUUCAAACUGAAUUACAAAGAAUUGGACUGUUUUCUGUUAUUUCUCCCUUUCAACUGGUGCAGAAGUCUGUUUGAGACAGAUAUAGCAAUGAGCCCACAGGGGACACUGGAGACAUCUCUGGAAAAAAGCAAGCUGCAUCGUUCUUCCUCUCCUGCUUUAGACCACACAUUAGGAUUUGAUUGCUUGUAUUGUAAUCAGUUUGACGCAUUCAGAAAUGUCUAGAUAAGCUUUUGUCCAAAACAAAAUAAUAAACUGCUUUAUAAAUAUUCUUCUCAGCCUGUGGCACAACAUUCAUUUCCUCCAUCCAUAUGUUGAAGUAUCCUUGAAGUAGAUUUAUUGUGGUUUCUAUAUAUUACAUCAUAGCAAAGAAAAUAGUUCUAAGGUAACAAUCUUCUGUUGGCUUCUGACAGUGAGCGUAUCUCUGUUCUUGUCCUGUAGACCUCAUUCAACUCAUUCUCACUGGCUCCAGAGUCAUCACCAUCUCUAAGCAGCAUAUCACAUCACAUUUCUGCAAAUCAGUUGCAUGCUGUGUGGUCAAAUGUUUGUGCAGGUUGGAGGUAUUUCUUCUAUUUGUUCUGUGUCAGUGUUGGGGUGAUUACUCAAAAAGUAAUGUAUAACACAGAGAAUAUUUCUCUUAAAAGUAAUGCAAUACGUUACAGUAUUACUCAUAGCAUCACACUACUUGUUACAUUCUUUCAUGUCACUGUAAAAUGACCAGUUAACACACCUAUCCAAAUACAUGUCCUCAAGAGGAUACACAUUUGAUCUUUCUCUUAGUAUUUAGGUAUGAACACAAAACCGACAGCACAAAGCAAAAUGAAAACCAGCACAAAGAGACUUAUUGCUACAGUGAUUCUACUUUAGAAACAUCAGCAACAGGUAGAAAUGAAGCUUAACUGCUCAUCAGUGUGUUACCUGUUGAAGUUCAGGAUCUGGCAGCUGGACUGGGGUCAGCAUUCACUCAGCUUUUACGUCACUCUGGGUUCUUGGCUAGCUUAGCAUUAGCGUGCUGUCUAUACAGAUGCUUGCAAAGAACUGAAGUUGUUUUUGCAGCAGUUGUUUCUGCCGUGGAUGCCGUUUCCGAUCUACCAUCACAGUCUCAUCCUUUUGUGCAAUAAAAAUAAAAGUAAUGUCCAUAUCCACACUGCAGACUAUGCCACUAUGAACCUAAAUCAGCUGACUGUACCACAAGUGCAAGUGGAACAGAUAAGCGGGAUAGAUAGUGUAGAAAUGUUUAGCUUAUUUUAGAGUUUAGACAUGUAGGAAUGUUUAGUUUGUUUUAGAGUUUAGAAAUGUGUUAAGAUAGAAUGUAGAAUUAUGGUAGAGACACUGAAACUGCCCUGGAUAUAAAUAAAGGCCUGAUUGUGUCAUGAGCUUAGAAGUAGAUUUGUAACUGGAUAACUGUGGUCUGGAGGGGUGAUGGUAUUUAUGGCCCCUAGGAAGAGACACAUACCCACAGUGUUUUAACUGAUAUACUCCCACACCUAUAUGCACACUCACUCACGUGCACGCACAUACCAGGUAUGCACACACAGUCACUCACGAGCACUCACAUAGACACGUGGGUACGCGCACACACAGGCACUCACGUGCUCGUGUACAUAGACACAGACACAGAGUUUGCAGCACACUGUGGGGGAUUUAUGAUGGGGUCGCCUCUAUAAAGCUGCCUGGAACUAACAAAGGGGUGAAGAUUGUUUCAGAGGGACACCGGCCUCGUCUUCCCUUCUAGAAGUGCAUGCUUAAAUGAAGAUGAAUAAAGAUGAAUAAAGAUUUUGUAAAAAUAAUUACUGAGUUCCGGUGCCGUUUCUGGAUCCCUCGACGAAUAAAGAACCGGGGUAAAAACUGAUUUCGUAACAAUAGACAAGCUAACUGACAGUUCAAGGAAUUCAAAUGCUGGGAACCGGUUCUCGAUUCCCAUCACUAUAUCUGAUAGAUUUAAAUUUUUUAACAGUGUUCCACAGGGUUUUGUGCUGGGAUAAAUAUUAUUAUUUUUAUACAUGCUAAGUUCAUACUGUUAGAAAAGCAUAUCCAAAUGAAACCCUGAACCCUGCCAUGCUGCAAUAGACUUAGCCUAUUGAGAGAGCUUCCCAUGAUGCUCCCAGAGUUUGUGCUCCACUCACCUCUUGUCACUGUCUGUGUGUUUAUAAACCACUCUCCUUUUAAUCUUUAGUUAAUCAUUCUCUUCCACAGUGUGAAUUUUGUCCUGCCUCUCUCUGCUUUCUUCUCUUUUCCCUCAUCCUCAGUUGGUCAUGGCAGAUGGCUGCCCCCCAUUAAGCCUGGUUUUGCCAGAAGUUUCUUCCUGUUUAAACAGAGUUUCUCUUUCCCACUGUUACCUAGUGCUCACAGGGGGCUGUCUGAUUCUUCGUUUUCAUUUUGGAGGGUCUAUACCUUACAAUAUAAAGUGAGGCAACUGUUGUAAAAUUGGCACUAUAUAUAUAACAUUGAAUUGACUUUUAGUAAACAUUGUUAGAAUUGUGGAUGCUCAUACUGAGCAGGGUCAGAGGUUCAAAUAAUGAUGUCAACAUCAGACGUCACUACCCAUGAGUCACUCAAAACCUCAGGUUUCAGAAUGCAUUAAACAUGCAGAAUAAGACAUGUCCUUUAUACUGUUGGCUCUGUAUGAUGUCAGUGAGAAUAAAUCUUCUUAACAUGGUAACGUGUGUAACAGAUUUUUCUAUAUUGUCUUAAAUUGGAAGAGAAGGGAGCAAAACCAGAUUGUUUCAAAUGGUGGAUGAACUGCAGUUACCCCCAACACAACCCCAC